GAACUGCGAUAAGUAAUGUGAAUUGCAUAAUUCAGUGAAUCAUCGAGUCUUUGAACGCACAUUGCGCCCCCUGGCAUUCCGGGGGGCAUGCCUGUCCGAGCGUCAUUGCUGCCCUUCAAGCCCGGCUUGUGUGUUGGGUCGUCGUCCCCCCCGGGGGACGGACCCGAAAGGCAGCGGCGACACCGUGUCCGGUCCUCGAGCGUAUGGGGCUUUGUCACCCGCUCGAUUAGGACCGGCCGGGCGCCCGCCGGCGUCAAACCCCCAAUCUUUCUAAGGUUGACCUCGGAUCAGGUAGGGAUACCCGCUGAACUUAAGC
rnacentral:misc_RNA from 1 species